UAGGCGCCCACACAGUAUCUAUUCUUUCUUCCUCCUUACUGACAAAACAGUUGUUGGCUAUGCCAACAGGCCCUGCCUGUUUAAAACACAUCGCUGCUAUCCCUGAGCAGAGAGACAACUGUGACCAAUGAAAUGUAAGUGAGGUCCAGGGACCAUCACAGAAGAUGAAACAGAAAGAUGGCAGGAGCCAGAGGUUGGGGAGGACGGCGCAGAAGAAUCUUCAGGACGAGAUGGGACGGCGGCACUCUUGACUUGAAGCAGCUGUGGUUGCCUACACAAGAUUAAGACAGUCACAGCACAGAGGGGGAGGGGCUUGCAAGCAGGGAGACCUUACAGCUCAUAUCACGGACCACACAAUCCUCUCAAAACUGUGCCCUGCAGGUGCCAUGUGAAAUGUGUGUGUGAACAUAGCCCAACACCCAAGCACAGCCCGUAUUCUACGAUAGUCCAUGUACGGAGCAGGCAGCUGGCUGCGCUGGGCUCUUCAGCCAUUAUUUGCUCAUCCCCAGUUUCUGACCUGCUGCUUAUAUGUGACGCUGUUUCCACACCACUCAUGCUGAUGGAUCUGUUUGCUCUGGGGACUGACGGGACGAUAUGUACACAAGCAACUGGGCACAGAACACGACACACAGGUGCUCAACAUGGGUGUGCUCACUUUAAUGCUCAAGUUGGUAUCCACCUUGGCUUUUUUUUUUUUCAGAACUUGGCUCCUUGUUAGUGUAAGUUGGCCAUCUGUGUUCCACACCCAUCAUUUCUACGCCACUAGUAUUUACUCCUCUGAUUCCCCCUCACCUAACAGUGAGGUUGCUUCUGACGUGGGAAUCAGGGUCUAAAGUCAGUGUGCAAUGAGUAUUUGAUACCAACCACUGUGCCAUGACAGCAUUCCUUCAUUUGAGCAAAACAAACAAAUACACAAACGAAGACAACUGGGGCUGGAGAGACGGCUCAGUGGUUAAGAGCACCAGCAGCUCCUCCAGUGGGCCUGGGUUAGAUUCCCAGCACUGACAUGGUGACUCAAGAUGGUCUGCAGCUCUAGUUCCAGAGCAUCCUAUGCCCUCUUCUGGGUUCCACAGGCACUGCACACGUGUGGUGCACAGACAUCCAUGCAGGUAAACAGCCAUACAUAUGAAAUGAAAUAAUAAAAAGACAUUUGUUUGUA